GACGGGCGGGUGGCGAGCCGGGCUCCGCGGAGGCAGGUGUGGCCGGAAUGUGGCGUUGGAAACGGAAGCGGCUUCGCCGACAGCUACAACAUCAUUGGAGACUGACACCUACAAACUCACCCUGUUCAGCUCUCAGCCUUGCUUCCAGUCUCUGCAUUUCAUAUAUGAGCAAGCCCUUCCCUCCGAACCUCCCUGACAAGAGGGGUGUGGCAAAGAGAUGGGACCAGUGUGAAGGAAUGGAAGAGAGACCCAGGGACAGUAGAAAUGAGUGAGGUAAGACUGGCGAGAUAAAGGUGGAGAGGAGAAAGGAAGGAAUAGCAACAUGCUGAAGUUAAAAACAGAGGAGACACAAAGAGAGUAUGAGUGACAUGUCAAACUUUAAACCAUGAAAACAGGCAAAUUUAG